rnacentral:rRNA from 1 species
UACAGGGGGUGCAAACGUUGCUCGGAAUCAUUGGGCGUAAAGCGCACGUAGGCGGUUCGUUAUGUCGGAUGUGAAAGCCCUUGGCUUAACCGAGGAAGUGCAUCCGAAACUGGCGAGCUAGAGUACUAAGAGGAUCGCGGAAUUCCCGGUGUAGAGGUGAAAUUCGUAGAUAUCGGGAGGAACACCGGUGGCGAAGGCGGCGAUCUGGGUAGAUACUGACGCUGAGGUGCGAAAGCGUGGGGAGCAAACAGG